rnacentral:misc_RNA from 1 species
GAUGAAGAACGUAGUGAAAUGCGAUAAGUAAUGUGAAUUGCAGAAUUCAGUGAAUCAUCGAAUCUUUGAACGCACCUUGCGCUCCUUGGCAUUCCGAGGAGCAUGCCUGUUUGAGUGUCAUUAAAUUCUCAAGACCUGUCUGCUUUUUUGAUAGGUAUUGGAUUUUGGGGGUUGCAGGCUGUUUCAAAUAAAUAGCCUUGCUCUCCUUGAAUGUAUUAGUGGAGAAAAGCCAUUGAACUCCACUGGUGUGAUAAAACCUAUCAAUGCCAGGAGCAAUAUCACUACUUCUCUCUGCUGUCUAACUGUGACUGUCUGUAUUAAUUAGUAUGGAUGGGGACAACUUGACCAACUUGACCUCAAAUCAGGUAGGACUACCCGCUGAACUUAAGCAUAUCAAUAAGCGGAGGA